UUGGUUGAUUGUCAACUCACAAUUCCAAUGGCAAUAGUCACUUGGCACUGUCUAAACACUUGUGCAAUUCAUAAACUUUAAAAGUUUAAUUUUGUCCUACAUACCAGUCUGUUUAUUACCAGCUCUUUCGAAAGUCAUAGCUUAAAAACAUCAAUGCUGCCGAAAUUACUGACUAAAUAAUCAGUUUAAUACAAAACUGGCUUUUCUGGUGCUGCUUUUGAAACAAGAGUUCCAUAGUAAUAAAUUGAUCACAAAAUCACACCAAUCUGUACAAGUUCAAACAUAAACCUCAGAUGUGCAGAUGCUUUGCAACUUGGUGUGAAAAGCAGAAACACAGUACGCCACUUUCUUUUAACCACUUUAUUUUACUUUAAUUUCAAUCCCCUUCAGACUCAGUCUUCCAAUUUAUUUUCAAUCCUCUUAAAUAUUUUCUGCAAAGCUUCUUUUCUUCAAUAACACUAGGGAAUUUGAAUGCAAGUCUUGUUGUUUCAAUUUUGUUGAGUUUUAUCGAGAGUAAACCCUUUCUUAUAAGCAAUAAAUCAUAAGAUGAAACACAACAAUCGUCUUUCUACAUUCCAUUAAUAAUACUUUCUCAUCCAAAUUGCAUGAUACAG
rnacentral:lncRNA from 1 species